GCUGCUUGGUGGUUAUUCCAUUCUAAUUCAGUAAUUUUGCAGUUAAAAAUCCCUAAUAUUCGUAUAGCUACAUCUGGGAUUAAAUUGAUGAAAAGUAAGAAAGGAGUACAGAUUUAAUAGAUGAAGAGGGAGCUGGCUCAGUUGCUUGAGACUGGCGAGGACCGUAUGGCACAAAUUCGAGUUGAACAUGUAAUUAGGGAAGAGAAGAUGCUGUGAACUAGCUAGAUUUCCCAUUAUUGAGUCCCAAAAAAAUUGUCCCAUUGACCUGAAGGAAGCAGUCAAGAGUGUGAUAUUUGUAGCUCUUUGAUGUCCGAAACUUCAACACAUUUAUGUAGAGAUUAACCAACUUGCCACAGCAGCUAACACUUUAAAUGGAUGUUUUAGCAAAUUGUGUAUGUUUUAGCACCUUAUAGUCUUUUUUUGGUUAUAUGGAUUAGUUUUAGGAUCAUUGUUUUGAUUUUUUUUUAUCU